AGAUAAUUUUAGACUUCACUUUAGGUUGGGCAGUGGAGGGUGUUUGAUUAGAUUUUUUUGGACCAUAUUAAAGACUCCAUUGGACCAACUGAAGCUGGAUUUCAAAUUUACCCCUUCAGUCCACAGGGAUUGGAUCUGUUGCUGGUUCUCCCACUCAGUUAUUUACCUUCCUCAACAGGGUUAGGAGAGACAGCUCACUCUGAUGGGAACUUUCCAACUGUUGCUGCUGGGACUUUGUGUGACUAUGUUCUCGGUCACUGAAGGGAUUCCUCCUGGUUUCACUCCAGCUCAGUGGUUCAAUGAGCAGCAUGUGCAGUAUCCCAAGACUAGGGCCCCCAGUGACAAUGUAUAUUGCAACAAUGAGAUGAGACGACUCAAUCAGCAUCUCCCUGUUUGUAAAGCCUUCAAUAGCUUCCUGCACUACCCACUUAACAAUGUCAUCAUGGUUUGUUCCGGGUCCAACAUCACCUGUAAGAAUGGAGUGGAUAAGAACUGCUAUAAUAGUACUACAGCUGUUCCCAUCACAGACUGUCAAUUGACUGGUGGUGCUCAUCCCAACUGCCGUUACCGUGGAGGACCUAAACAGGCAUACUUUGUUGUUGCCUGUAAUCCCCCCAAGCCAGCAGACCACAGUGGAAGAAGAUUGCUUCCUGUGCAUUUGGAUAGCACUUAGGGGCAAUACCCCAUACUUGUAUCUCCUUGAUUUCUAAUCUUUCAGUGUUUUGCCCUUUCAUUUCAAGAUGCACUAUGGAAAUCUGCUCUCUUGCUUUUUUUUCCUGCACAAAUCUCAGUAAUCCUAUCUUCCCCACGAGUUUAUCAGGAAUUCUUGUGGAAAAGGUUUUUAUGGGGCUGAGCUUACCUUUCUGGGAGGUUUUAUCUUUAGCCUGAUGCUUAUAGAUGACAUUGACCUCUCUUAUUCUCCACCCCAGCAGUGAUGUGGAAUGGAAUACUCUAUCUGUCUCACUCCUCACUAUUUCUUCACCUUUCCCAUCUUACUUAACACUUUAGAUCCAAAUAGAGGGAAAAGGAGGAGGUAGAUAAAUAUGCUUUUAUUCUAGCUUCUUGCCAUCUCUUCACUCUGCUGCUUCCACUCUUUUUUCAUUCUUCAACAAUAUCUUUUUCCACCUCUGGGUAUUCUGAUUCUGGGUACCACUCCCCCAUAUUUUCUGUAUUAUGGUUUUCCCUCUUUGAAAUGUAAGCUCCUUGAGAGCAGGGAUUAUCUUCUUUGCUUAUACUUUUAUCCUCAGUGACUGGUACCUAGGAAUCGCUCAAUAAUUGCUUUUCUAAACCUGGAAAGAGUUAUAUGGACUGAUGCAGAGUGAAGGAAACAGAACCAAGAGAACAUUGUACACAGUAACAGCCAUACUGUAUGCUGAGCAACAGUGAAUAACUUUUCUCUGUAACACAAUGGUCCAAGACAAUCUCAAAGGACUCAUGAUGAAAAAUGUUAUCUACCACCAUAGAAAGAACUGAUGGCAACUGAAUACAGAAGCAUACUAUUUAUCUUCUUCCUUCUUUCCUUCCUUCCUUCCUCCCUCGCUUCCUUCCUUCCUUCCUUCUUUCUUUCCUUCUUCAAGUUUCCUUCUACAAAAUGACUAACAUAGAAAUAUGUUAUUUGUUUUUACAUCUAGUUUGGGAAAAAAUGAAAUAUUUUAAAAUUGCUUUUCUAACUGCCCAUCUACUUAUCAAUCUAUUUAUAAUCUAUGUUAAAUCUAUCUAUCAAUCUAUGUAGAAUCUACCUAGCUAUCUAAUCCUGAGAAUAGAAGAAAUAAUGUUGGGAAGAGAAUUUAUAAUUUUCAAAUUAAUCAAUAUGUAUAAUGAAUACAAUACUGAUAUAGUAUUCUCAAAAGCUGCCUGUCUGGCUUGGGAGUCAGAGCUCACAAUGCAGCUUAAACUGAUUAAUGCAAACUCCAACAACACUCACAAUCACUGGAUCUUAAGUGAAGUGAAUCAAAGAUUGUAGAACCUGUUCCCAUCACAGAACUCUGGUUCUGUACUCUGGGAGAAGUGGUCCUGACUCCCAAACACUUGACUCCAUUGUGGGAUUGAUAGGUUUCUUGUGGGAAACCACUAAAAGAUUGUUUAUAGUCCACCUUCCCUCCUCCUUUCCCACUUGUGAUUUCAGUAUAUAACCUGUGCUUUUAGUUCAGCUAAGAGAACAUUCUUCAUUCUGAAACUGAUUAAUUAAACUACUUGAUUACUGUCAAUCCUAUCUCUAGGCCUGCUUUGCAUAACUGGGAGUGUUCUCAGGUUAGAAACAGGCUCAGUAGAAAUCAUCUUAACAGUGUUUUUGCUGAUUAAUAUACCACAGGUGAAAGUGAGAAGGAGGCUUACCCUCUAUGAGCUGUACUGCAAAGGCUGGACUGAGCCAGAUGUGUUGUGCUGGUUUCAGUAAAGACCUUUUUGCAUACAACUGUGGGGAAUCUUCUUUCAUAAGCAAAGGGAUGACUUGAACUAUGAUUUCUUUAGCAUAGGGAACUAAUUCCUAAUUGAGGGAAUUCCCUCUACCAGUGAAGGGACUCCCUCUACCUCACCUUCUCUGCAAUUUAUAGGCUUACAGAGUUGCCUAGAUCACUAAGAAGUUAAGUGACUUCCCCAGGGCCUCAUAGUCAUUGUGUGUCAGAGAUUGAACUUGAUUCCAGGUCUUCAUAGUUUCCACACUAGUUUUCUAACCACUGCACCAAUUUUGUUACUAAUUAUUGCAAAAAGGUCUAAAAGAGAAAAGAAGCUGGGGCAUUGGUGCUAUAGUAAGGAGGAAAGGGGCCUGCAUAAGGUGGGAGUCAGGGAUAAGGAGCAGGAAAUCUAUAACUUUUCUUUCCAAUUAAUUGGGGGUUUUCCCAAAAGGAGGUGUUAAUAGAGGCGUGACCCUGAAACCAAGGUGAGAGGAAUUGGUGACAAGCAUUAUGGCCCUAGAAUCCAGACAACAUGGCAUCAUGGAAGGGCUACUUGUUAGAUGGGAGGGAUAAUUUAGAGGAGUAAAUGACUCCACUAUUUGGAGACAAAAUGUUUAGAAAACUGAGACCACCCAAAAAUAUGCUAAUACAAUACCUCAGUUGGAAGAAUGAGAAGGAGUUGCUUUCAUCAAGCAAACACUCAGCCAGUAAGUACUUACUAAGAACCUAUGUACCACCUCAUGCUAAGUGUUAGGAACACAAUUACAAAAGUGCAGUCUUGUAGUGUAUCUGGGGAAGGCAGCACAUUUAUCUAUAGAUCUAUUUUGAGUGUGAUUGCAGAGAAAGGAGAUCACUAUAUUUUUCCCUUUCUGGACCUGACAAAUACCGUUUUAGAAUAAGCCUCCCAUUCAAGUGCAGAUGUAUCUUAUCUUCUUUUAUCCUAGUUUUACUGAAAAGCUAAUCAGAAGACAAAAGUAGUUCACCCUGCCUCUGGCCUUGAGGCUAAUGGCAUACUAGGAGAGUAGAAAGUCACAACCAACUGCCUCUAAGACCAAUACUUGACCUGCAUGACUACACGUUUUCUGUUUACUAAGUAACUGUGGGAAAUGGCUUGUAUUCAGAAGCACAUGUGUCCUAUAGACAUACUUUCCUCUAUGUAUCAAUGAAUGAUUUUCCCUGUAACAAAGUAGAUAAAAAAAACUUUUCUACCUUGCAUUCUAAAUCGAAAGAAAAAUGGCAUAGCAAGGCUGUCCUCCACAUGA